AUGACUCCCUUAUGCCCUUGCGAGCAGCGGCCACCAUUGGGCAGGGACAGAGCCGUUGAGCGCCCUUGCUCGGUGGUCCACCACCCUUCUCGCCUCCCGUUCGACGCCUCUUCUCCACACCCCUUCGUUCGAUGUGCUUCGACUCAUGAUGUACCAGAGUGGAGUCAGUAUAGAUAUCAGAGACUGAAGUAUAGGACGCGCUCAGGGGUGUGCGGCAGCCCAUGGCGGGCAAGGCGUGCUGCAGUGGGGUUAUGGCAGCAUUAUGGUCAUGAGAGAGCUAGCAUGCUCUUUGGUUGUUGUGUGAGCUGCACCUAA
rnacentral:rRNA from 1 species